CGGAGGGUGCAAGCGUUAUCCGGAUUUAUUGGGUUUAAAGGGUCCGUAGGCGGAUCCGUAAGUCAGUGGUGAAAUCUCACAGCUUAACUGUGAAACUGCCAUUGAUACUGCGGGUCUUGAGUAAGGUAGAAGUGGCUGGAAUAAGUAGUGUAGCGGUGAAAUGCAUAGAUAUUACUUAGAACACCAAUUGCGAAGGCAGGUCACUAUGUCUUAACUGACGCUGAUGGACGAAAGCGUGGGGAGCGAACAGGAUUAGAUACCCUGGUAGUCCACGCCGUAAACGAUGCUAACUCGUUUUUGGGCUUUCGGGUUCAGAGACUAAGCGAAAGUGAUAAGUUAGCCACCUGGGGAGUACGUUCGCAAGAAUG
rnacentral:rRNA from 1 species